rnacentral:rRNA from 1 species
UAGGGAAUCUUCCACAAUGGACGCAAGUCUGAUGGAGCAACGCCGCGUGAGUGAAGAAGGUUUUCGGAUCGUAAAGCUCUGUUGUUGGUGAAGAAGGAUAGAGGUAGUAACUGGCCUUUAUUUGACGGUAAUCAACCAGAAAGUCACGGCUAACUACGUGCAA